rnacentral:rRNA from 1 species
CUUGGUCAUUUAGAGGAAGUAAAAGUCGUAACAAGGUUUCCGUAGGUGAACCUGCGGAAGGAUCAUUACAGAGAUCAUGCCCUUCGGGGUAGACCUCCCACCCUUUGUUAUACCAACGAAUGUUGCUUUGGCGAGCCGCCCUAGGCCGUCGGCCUCGGCUGACGCGUGCUCGCCAGAGGCCCCAAACUCUGUAUCAGCGUCGUCUGAGUACUAUAUAAUAGUUAAAACUUUCAACAACGGAUCUCUUGGUUCUGGCAUCGAUGAAGAACGCAGCGAAAUGCGAUAAGUAAUGUGAAUUGCAGAAUUCAGUGAAUCAUCGAAUCUUUGGACGCACAUUGCGCCCCUUGGUAUUCCGGGGGGCAUGCCUGUUCGAGCGUCAUUUCAACCCUCAAGCUCUGCUUGGUCUUGGGCCCUGCCGGCAACGGCUGGCCUCAAAAGUAGUGGCGGCGCCAUCGUGCUCUCAGCGUAGUAAUUCUUCUCGCUGUUGGGUCCCGGUGGACGCUGGCCAGCAACCCCCCAUUUCUAAUGUUGACCUCGGAUCAGGUAGAGAUACCCGCUGAACUUAAGCAUAUCAAUAAGCGGAGGA